rnacentral:lncRNA from 1 species
UUCGUCAGUAGUUGAAAAGUCAAAGAUGGAAUUUUGAAUAAGUCAAUCACAGCGUGUUAUCAUCAUCUUCCCUUAAAUUUCAGCUGGUGGAGAUGAAAACCUGCUCAAACAACUCAACAAAUUGAUAUUUCAUUGAAUCCUUGUGGUUCCUAUGGAUCUGUACAUCUUUUCGUCCACAUUUGCUCUACUAAGUCCCUCUCUCUUACUCACCGGUCACAUCCACUGUCUCCGCACCACUAACACCGUCGUUCCACUUCUCCAACCUCACUUCUCUAACACGAACCUGCUCCUGCAUUCUCCGCCUCUUUCAUUUGUCCUUUCUCUUUCAGGAUGAAUUGGGUUGCUAAACUGUACUCUUUAAUGAACGACCACCAAAUACAGAUUCACCAAGGUACCCCCUUAUCUUCGUAUUUGGGAACACUUUUUGUAUUAGAGACGCAAAAGGGUUCUCUUUGUUUCUGUCUAUCUCGCUCCAUUCAAGAUCAUGAGAAACUUUUCAUGUGACUUUUUUGUUACCUUUUCAUUAUCAGAUUUUUUUUUUGUUGUAGGAUAAAAUCAGGAAGACCAAUAAGAAAUAAAAAUAUCUAUGUGUGUGUAACGAUAUCAUGCUCCAAACCUCAUUCUCAAUCUCGAUUUCAAUCCUUGAAACUUACUCUCGAUCUUGAUAUUCUACAGAUAAGAGACAACUACAAUUUCAAGCCCUAAAUUUCAAAGGUAAGCAACGAUUUCAAUCCCUAAAAAUCACUCUUGAUCUCGAUUUCAAGCUCUAAACCACAAUCUCGAUUUUGAUUUUGAUGUUUUGCAGAUAGGAGAUAAGAUAUGAUUCCAUGACCUAAGCAUCUCUCUCUCUCUCUCUCUCUCUCUCUCUCUCUCUCUCUCUCUCUGGUUUACCAUCAAGGACACAAAACGUUACGAUUUCGUGUUUUUUCUUUUCUUCUUUUGAUUUGUUGCAUAAACAUCAAUUUUUGCUACAUAAAUUUAAAACUUAAAGGUAUUUUGAGGAAUUUAAGGGUUGGAUUUCGUAUAUGUGUGUAUGUUUAACAGGUGAACCUAAAAAGUAGAAGGUUUGAAAAUGGUUAAAGGCAAUUAACAGGUAUGUAUUUUUGUAUGUAGGUGUGUGUGUGUGUGUGUAUUUAUGUAGGAGUCUAAUGUGCAUAUGUUUAUAUCCAGGUGGUUUUAUUUGUUUUUGUGUGUUUUUAUGUAGGUGUGUGUAUCUGUGUUGGUGUAUAUAUAAGGUAAUAGCCUAUGAUUUUUGUUCUUCUCGUUGGAAGGGUAUUUUCUGUGGAUGAAUCUGAUUAUAAAUUUACUUUAAAGCUGAACAUCUAUCUGUAGAUGAGUGGCUAUAGGUUUGUGGUUUUCAUGCUAUAUCUCCUUAAAUGCCAAAGCUUGCUUAUAUUGUAUUCUCUUUUCUAUGAAAAUUCUGUAAUUAAACUUCUGAACAUAUAUUUCUGAAUGAAGGAUAAAAUAGGAGUAAAGGAAUAUGGAAAUGGAAUGGGAAUCAGUAGAUGCCAAUCAUAUUCUAUGGAGAGGUUUGUUAAUUUGUUUUAUCUUAAUUUUUAUGAAAACAAUUUAAGUCGACUUCUAAUCGUUACUAUUCAUAAGAUGGGCUGGUUUUAAUAUAUAAUUUUUUUCAAGAUGGUGAUUUUAAUGAGUUACUGAUUUGUAAUUUAUAAGAGGUCCUGCAUCUACUAAAACAUUUUGAGUUUUGAGAAUUUCAUUUUCUGGUUUAUAUUUCUUUGUUCUUGUAUUUGUACGUGAGUUUUUUUCUCACAGUUUGAGUUUUCUGAUUAUGUUCCCCUGUCACUUUUCAUUCAGAUUAAACCGCAUGGAGUUGUUUCUAACUUACACCGUAUAGUUGAAAGUAUUUAAUUUUCCCUUCUAGGUUAAAUGUUAUAAAACACUUCAAAUGGUCAAAAAGUAUGUGUUUGUAAUGUGUGUGUCUGUAAUGUGUUUAUGUGUGUGCGUUCUACGUUAGUGUCUCCAAUUUAUAUUAAAUGAAGUAAUUUCGUUUAAAAUUGA